CACGUACUGUGCGAACGUUAUUCGGAAUCACUGGGCUUAAAGGGUACGUAGGCGGUUAAUCAAGUCAGGUGUGAAAUGCCUGAGCUCAACUGAGGCACUGCGCUUGAAACUGAUUAGCUAGAGUAUUCCAGGGGUGUGCGGAACUUAUGGUGGAGCGGUGAAAUGCGUUGAUAUCAUGAGGAACACCGGAGGCGAAGGCGAGAACUGGAUUGG
rnacentral:rRNA from 1 species